CCAGAGAACUUAGCAGAGAUGCUUUGGUGCCUUCGGGAACUCUGAGACAGGUGCUGCAUGGCUGUCGUCAGCUCGUGUUGUGAAAUGUUGGGUUAAGUCCCGCAACGAGCGCAACCCUUAUCCUUUGUUGCCAGCGGCUCGGCCGGGAACUCAAAGGAGACUGCCGGUGAUAAACCGGGAGGAAGGUGGGGAUGACGUCAAGUCAUCAUGGCCCUUACGGCCAGGGCUACACACGUGCUACAAUGGCGCAUACAAAGAGAAGCGACCUCGCGAGAGCAAGCGGACCUCAUAAAGUGCGUCGUAGUCCGGAUUGGAGUCUGCAACUCGACUCCAUGAAGUCGGAAUCGCUAGUAAUCGUAGAUCAGAAUGCUACGGUGAAUACGUUCCCGGGCCUUGUACACACCGCCCGUCACACCAUGGGAGUGGGUUGCAAAAGAAGUAGGUAGCUUAACCUUCGGGAGGGCGCUUACCACUUUGUGAUUCAUGACUGGGGUGAAGUCGUAACAAGGUAGGCGUAGUGCU
rnacentral:rRNA from 1 species